AUUGAACGCUGGCGGCAGGCCUAACACAUGCAAGUCGAGCGGAGCGGCGGACGGGUGAGUAAUGCCUAGGAAUCAGCCUGGUAGUGGGGGAAAACGUCCGGAAACGGGCGCUAAUACCGAAUACUAUCAGAUGAGCCUAGGUCGGAUUAGGUAGUUGGUGGGGUAAAGGCCUACCAAGGCGACGAUCCGUAACUGGUCUGAGAGGAUGAUCAGUCACAUGGUAACGGAGACACGGUCCAGCGUCCUACGGUAGGGAGCAGGGGUAAAUAUUGGGCAAGGGGCGAAAGCGUGUUCCAGCCAUGCCACGUGUGUGAAGAAGGUUUUCGGAUUGUAAAGCACUUUAAGUUGGGAGGCGUUACCAACAGAAUAAGCACCGGCUAACUUCGUGCCAGCAGCCGCGGUAAUAC
rnacentral:rRNA from 1 species